GACGAACGCUGGCGGCGUGCUUAACACAUGCAAGUCGAACGGUGAAGCGCCUUCCUUUUUGGUGGGUGUGGAUGAGUGGCGAACGGGUGAGUAACACGUGAGUAACCUGCCCCCUUCUUCUGGAUAACCGCAUGAAAGUGUGGCUAAUACGGGAUAUUCUGGGUCUGUCGCAUGAUGGGUCCGGGAAAGAUAUUGUUUCGGUGGGGGAUGGGCUCGCGGCCUAUCAGCUUGUUGGUGGGGUGAUGGCCUACCAAGGCGGUGACGGGUAGCCGGCCUGAGAGGGUGGACGGUCACACUGGGACUGAGACACGGCCCAGACUCCUACGGGAGGCAGCAGUGGGGAAUAUUGCACAAUGGGCGCAAGCCUGAUGCAGCGACGCCGCGUGAGGGAUGGAGGCCUUCGGGUUGUGAACCUCUUUCGCCAGUGAAGCAGGCCUGCCUCGUUUGUGGGUGGGUUGACGGUAGCUGGAGAAGAAGCGCCGGCUAACUACGUG
rnacentral:rRNA from 1 species